rnacentral:sRNA from 1 species
GAGAGCUGGAGUCCUUUUACUAAGAAUGAAUCAUCGGUCACAGUUGCCGACAUAAAGAUUCGGUGU